rnacentral:rRNA from 1 species
AUUGAUUUUAUGCCUGCAUAAAUGAUUUUUGGAUUCGGAGCGAGUGGCGAACUGGUGAGUAACACGUGGGUAACCUGCCCCGAAGCGGGGGAUAACAUUUGGAAACAAGUGCUAAUACCGCAUAAUUAGUUGGAACCGCAUGGUUCCAACUUGAAAGAUGGCUCUGCUAUCACUUUGGGAUGGACCCGCGCCGUAUUAGUUAGUUGGUGAGAUAAAAGCCCACCAAGACGAUGAUACGUAGCCGACCUGAGAGGGUAAUCGGCCACAUUGGGACUGAGACACGGCCCAGACUCCUACGGGAGGCAGCAGUAGGGAAUCUUCCACAAUGGACGAAAGUCUGAUGGAGCAACGCCGCGUGAGUGAUGAAGGUUUUCGGAUCGUAAAACUCUGUUGUUAAAGAAGAACAAGUGUUAGAGUAACUGUUAACACUUUGACGGUAUUUAACCAGAAAGCCACGGCUAACUACGUGCCAGCAGCCGCGGUAAUACGUAGGUGGCAAGCGUUGUCCGGAUUUAUUGGGCGUAAAGCGAGCGCAGGCGGUUUUGUAAGUCUGCUGUGAAAGCCCUCAGCUCAACUGAGGAAGUGCAGUGGAAACUACAAAACUUGAGUACAGAAGAGGAAAGUGGAACUCCAUGUGUAGCGGUGAAAUGCGUAGAUAUAUGGAAGAACACCAGUGGCGAAGGCGGCUUUCUGGUCUGUUACUGACGCUGAGGCUCGAAAGCAUGGGUAGCGAACAGGAUUAGAUACCCUGGUAGUCCAUGCCGUAAACGAUGAAUACUAGGUGUUGGAGGGUUUCCGCCCUUCAGUGCCGCAGCUAACGCAUUAAGUAUUCCGCCUGGGAAGUACGACCGCAAGGUUGAAACUCAAAGGAAUUGACGGGGGCCCGCACAAGUGGUGGAGCAUGUGGUUUAAUUCGAUGCUACGCGAAGAACCUUACCAGCUCUUGACAUCUUCUGCCAACCCAAGAGAUUGGGCGUUCCCUUCGGGGACAGAAUGACAGGUGGUGCAUGGUUGUCGUCAGCUCGUGUCGUGAGAUGUUGGGUUAAGUCCCGCAACGAGCGCAACCCUUAUUAUUAGUUGCCAGCAUUUAGUUGGGCACUCUAGUGAGACUGCCGGUGAUAAA